UACGUAGGGUGCGAGCGUUGUCCGGAAUUACUGGGCGUAAAGAGCUCGUAGGUGGUUUGUCGCGUUGUUCGUGAAAACUCACAGCUUAACUGUGGGCGUGCGGGCGAUACGGGCAGACUGGAGUACUGCAGGGGAGAUCGGAAUUCCUGGUGUAGCGGUGAAAUGCGCAGAUAUCAGGAGGAACACCGGUGGCGAAGGCGGAUCUCUGGGCCUUACCUGACGCUGAGGCGCGAAAGCUAGGGGAGCGAGCAGG
rnacentral:rRNA from 1 species